rnacentral:rRNA from 1 species
CCUACGGGAGGCAGCAGUGGGGAAUUUUGGACAAUGGGCGCAAGCCUGAUCCAGCAAUGCCGCGUGAGUGAAGAAGGCCUUCGGGUUGUAAAGCUCUUUUGUCAGGGAAGAAACGGUGGGAGCUAAUAUCUUCCACUAAUGACGGUACCUGAAGAAUAAGCACCGGCUAACUACGUGCCAGCAGCCGCGGUAAUACGUAGGGUGCAAGCGUUAAUCGGAAUUACUGGGCGUAAAGCGUGCGCAGGCGGUUUUGUAAGUCUGUCGUGAAAGCCCCGGGCUCUAACCUGGGAAUUGCGAUGGAGACUGCAAGGCUUGAAUCUGGCAGAGGGGGGUAGAAUUCCACGUGUAGCAGUGAAAUGCGUAGAGAUGUGGAGGAACACCGAUGGCGAAGGCAGCCCCCUGGGUCAAGAUUGACGCUCAUGCACGAAAGCGUGGGGAGCAAACAGGAUUAGAUACCCUGGUAGUCCACGCCCUAAACGAUGUCUACUAGUUGUCGGGUUUUAAUUAACUUGGUAACGCAGCUAACGCGUGAAGUAGACCGCCUGGGGAGUACGGUCGCAAGAUUAAAACUCAAAAGGAAUUGACGG